AAUCUGGGGUGGGAUUUGUAGUAUAGGGAAAUUAGAGGGGUUGAAUUUGUCUUUUGUAAGAGUCUGGGUAUUUGAUUGAAGAUCUCCCCCAUUCUCGGAAACCCCAGCCGCCUCCCCUUUAUUCUUCCUCACUUCUUCCUUGUUUCCCAUCGCAAAGCUGCCGCCGCCGUCGAUGCUCUUCGAUGGAUAGGCCCUUGUCGGAGAAGGCGUCGUCCAGACCCUUGUCGGAGAAGGCGUCGUCAUUUCACGGGAGGGACGCUGAGGACGACAUGCUUCCGAGGCUGGAGGCUGGAGGUAUGGCCGACAUGCUUCCGAGGCUGAGGACGGUGCCGGGCUUGCUGGCCGGCAGAAGAGGCGGCGGGAGUUCGGCAACUCCACCGAGGACGGUGGAUAGGCGCUGUCCGUCGGUGCUUUGGCCCCGCACCUCCUCUGCUUCUUCCUCCUUUUCCACCGCAAAGCCGCCGAUGCUCCUUCACCCUCUGAGAGCUCUAGCGUCGGCGCCGCCGGCUGCUGACUGAAUACUCCGAGACGUCGAUUGGAAGGAGAAGUCGGUUGCUUAUAACCAACAAAACCAGAUUCAGGAAUGUGUUGACAUGCUUGUUGCCUCCUCUGUUCAUCCUCACGAUGCUUGAAAUUUUCAUCAUCUUCUUCUUUGUCCCGAAGUUUAGCAGAUUCGCCGCUGGUUUUCUUCGGGUGGCUGAGCCUUCUCCGACCACGGGUUCCUUUUUCAAGCCUCAGUUGAUGCAAGC